rnacentral:rRNA from 1 species
UACGGGGGGGGCAAGCGUUGUUCGGAAUUACUGGGCGUAAAGGGCUCGUAGGCGGCCAACUAAGUCAGACGUGAAAUCCCUCGGCUUAACCGGGGAACUGCGUCUGAUACUGGAUGGCUUGAGGUUGGGAGAGGGAUGCGGAAUUCCAGGUGUAGCGGUGAAAUGCGUAGAUAUCAGGAGGAACACCGGCGGUGUAGACGGCUUACUGGACCAUGACUGACGCUGAGGCACGAAAGCGUGGGGAGCAAACAGG